GAUUCCCCCAGUAACGGCGAGUGAACAGGGAUUAGCCCAGCACCGAAGCCUGCGACCGUUUGGCCGUAAGGCAAUGUGGUGUUUAGGUUGAUGCGUUGGUGUGCUGCUCCGUUCCAAGUCCAAUCAUGAAUAUGGCUUUAGUAUGGCCCAGAGAGGGUGAAAGGCCCGUGUGGACGGAGUGGCGCUUCACUGCGUUGACUUUGGAGUCGGGUUGUUUGAGAAUGCAGCCCAAAGUUGGUGGUAAACUCCAUCUAAGGCUAAAUACUGGCACGAGUCCGAUAGCGAACAAGUACCGUGAGGGAAAGUUGAAAAGUACUCUGAAGAGAGAGGUAACAGUGCGUGAAACCGCUUAGAGGCAAACGGGUGUAGUCAAGCUGCAAGCCUGUUGAAAUAGGGGGGCCAGAAUGGCGUGAGUCUGAGCACAUAGAGCCAGCGUAUGGGUGCGUCCCUAGGGACGUGUUCGGUUCACGAGAGCCGGAUCUGUGAAGUGGCAUUCGCUGCUGCAGGCCUGUGCGUUGGUUGCUCUGCUGGCCCUCUCACUUUCUUCGGGCGUAUGUCACGACCGUCAUUGUUGUCGGUCUGCUUCGUCUAAACGGUGGGGUGAGUAGUCUUGUGCUAUUCGUCCCAUCGGGGCAGGUUGCCGGGCCGGUACUUCGGUGCUGCUGCUUCGGUGUUAUUUGCUGGGCGGAGUGGUAACUGUAACUGUGCAAUGUGGCGGGGCUGGCGGUGCAUUGUUUCCUGGGCGUGCUAAAAAUGCGCUGGCGCGAAUUGAGUUUGGCUGCUUGUUGCUGGUUCUGCCGGCCUUGUGGCAACUCUGUUGCGGUUUAGUGUAUGGCUGCGUCUGGGCAAUCUUUGCGUUGUGCCAAUAGUCUGUGGCGUAGUGGUAGACGAUCCACCCGACCCGUCUUGAAACACGGACCAAGGAGUUUAACAUGUGCGCGAGUCAAUGAGUUGUGCAUUGCAUACGAAACUCAAAGGCGCAGUGAAAGUAAAGGGUGACAUAGUUGCCUGAGGUGAGAUCCUGCUAUUUCUCUUGUGCUCUGGUCAGACUCUCGAGUGGUAGGCGCAUCACCGGCCCGUCCCAUGGUGUAGUAGGGCUUCUGUCUUGCGGCACCGGGGCGGAGCAAGAGCGUACAUGUUGAGACCCGAAAGAUGGUGAACUAUGCUUGCGCAGGUUGAAGCCGGAGGAAACUCUGGUGGAGGACCGUAGCGAUUCUGACGUGCAAAUCGAUCGUAUGAUGUGAGUAUAGGGGCGAAAGACUAAUCGAACCAUCUAGUAGCUGGUUCCCUCCGAAGUUUCCCUCAGGAUAGCUGGUGCUCGUAAUGGUUAAACAGUUUUAUCCGGUAAAGCGAAUGAUUAGAGGUCUUGGUGCCGAAAUGGUGUCAACCUAUUCUCAAACUUUAAAUGGGUGAGAAGCCUUGCUCUCUUAAUUGGAGUUCGGCCGUCGAAUGUGAGUGCCAAGUGGGCCAUUUUUGGUAAGCAGAACUGGCGCUGUGGGAUGAACCAAACGCUCGGUUAAGGUGCCUAACACGACGCUCAUGAGAUACCACAAAAGGUGUUGGUUGAUAUAGACAGCAGGACGGUGGCCCUGGUAGUCGGAAUCCGCUAAGGAGUG
rnacentral:rRNA from 1 species